rnacentral:rRNA from 1 species
UACGUAGGGUGCGAGCGUUAAUCGGAAUUACUGGGCGUAAAGCGUGUGUAGGCGGCUACGCAAGUCGGAUGUGAAAGCCCUGGGCUCAACUCAGGAAGUGCACCCGAUACUGCGCAGCUAGAGUACCGGAGAGGUUGGUAGAAUUCUCGGUGUAGAGGUGAAAUUCGUAGAUAUCGAGAGGAAUACCUGUGGCGAAGGCGGCCAACUGGACGAGUACUGACGCUGAGACACGAAAGCGUGGGGAGCAAACAGG